rnacentral:lncRNA from 1 species
GUUGUUUUUUUGAUUAGCUGUGUUUUGCUUUCCUCCACCCAAAACUCAGAGUUCAUCUUGGAAAAAGAAAUGCUAUACGCUGCCAGAAAGAAUAUUUUUGGAGCUUCCAGCCCCAACUUGCUGAUGCCCCUUCAGCCUGGGUCCCAGGAACAGACCAGAACACAGCCUACAGCAAGCAACGAAGCCAACUGGAUCCACAGCUUGAAAAGACUCUCUGAGCUGAACUGAAGCUAGAUCUUCUGAGCCACAGGUAACCUCAGAACCAUGCUUUAGAGUAUACAUACCAAGUUUUGUGCGAUGCUGAGUUUUAGUGUGGUUGGCAAUAGAGCAUUUUUGUGGUAAUUGUUGACAAAGAUACUUCUUAUGUACUACGCAUUGUGCUGGAC